GGGGGUGUAGCUCAAUUGGCAGAGCGUCUGAUUUGCAUUCAGAAGGUCGUCGGUUCGACUCCGAUCACCUCCA
rnacentral:tRNA from 1 species